CAUUUUACCACCAUAAUACAUUGUAAUGUGGGAAAGAAAAUAAAAAAAAUUGCAUAACUCUAAGAAGUUGGUUUUAGUGUUGAGAAGGAUGAGGAGCAAUUUUUUAUUUUUUAAACUGAUCCUUGCUGGCCUUCAGGCAUUGUAUGAUCAUGCACUCUGAUUUUUGCUUGAGAUUGCCUGUUGACAUUAUGACCAAAUGCACAAAUUGUAUUCCUCCUUUUGAUACAGUUGAACAUGAGAAAUCUUGAAUGCCAUACGCUCAGUUUUGGGGCUGAAUUCAGUACAUAACUAGAAGGUAUGAGUUUAUUCAUAUUUUACAAUCUAUUGCAGAGCUACUAUAAACUUUAAUUUUUAUCGUGGCAGACAUUGUUGAAGACAGGAUUUAAAUGAUACACGUGUUUCAUUCUAACAACUUAAGCUUUAAGAUCAAAUAAUUCAACAUGAUAUCAGAGUAGGCAAAGGUCCUGAAUUCAAGUCUCCUGCCAGCUGUUUAAUAAAAUUUUGCAUGUGUUUGGCUUUGGCUUCAAUGGGAAAAGAAUGAACCAUGCCUACAAAGUAUUUUAUUUUAUUAUUUUUUUUUUCCGGGGGGGGGGUGCGGAUGGGUGUGUUGUUAAAAGACAAAAUUUAAAUGAUACAGUCAUGUAGUUUCUGUUUCUUUUGGUCUACUUGUCUUUUCUUAUUUUGUUUAGGGGCAUUGAUGAUCCCUGUUCAUAUAAACAAGAUUACCAUAUUAUAAUUAAGAAAAACUUAAUACUGACCAUAUGAUAGAAUAAUUACUGACUAAAAUUACUCAAAACUGUCUUGAUAUCUUGGUAAUGGAAAGUGCUACUACAAAAUUUCUUCGAUAUCUUAGGACUUGAGUUUUGACAGGUUGUGGGCUUGUGGCAGCUGCAUAAUCACAAAGGUGGUUGCUUUGCAUCUCUGAAGCGAUUUAGGCUUUAGCUCUGUGGUUUCCAAAACAAUGAUUACAGGAAAGGGCAAAAGAGAUGAAAUAUGAAGCCCGAAAUCCCAGCAGUAUAUAAUCUUAAGUUUUUUAUUUACUAAUCAAUCUGUAUACAACAUAUUUGAAUUACUGGAUGACAUAAUCGUACACUAAUUUGCAAAUUAAUCUGGUUCAGGUGUAUUGCAUCAGUAAGAAAUUGUCAAACAUGUAAAAUAGUAGUCUUGUUAUUACUUGAACCAUAUUUGUUAUGUAUGUCCUUUUGCUGUUGGAUUGAUUCUCUUAUCCAUGAUACAUUAUAAAUGUAUAUUAAUU
rnacentral:lncRNA from 1 species